rnacentral:lncRNA from 11 species
GUUUGACCCAGGUACAUGGAAUGAGCAAUCUGCAUGAGACAUAUUUAAAGACUUCUCCAAGACACCUCUGUGAAAAGCAGGCUCUUUUCUGGAAGCCUCUUGCUGAACUGGAAUUAUCCUGUGGUUUUGAAGAAACAUGUGUCUCAAGCAAACAUUAUACACCAGUUUACAACUUGAAGUUGAUUCUGGCAGAGAGACUUGGUGGGGUGACAGAAGGCAAGCUGUGAACACAAGUCGACUUUUCGAUGGAAUUCUUUUACAGGCUAUAUAGAAGAAAAGAUCAUCCAUCACAGUUAUAAGCUAUAAAGCUGACAAGAAAAAAAGAAAAUACAACUGGUUGGGUUGAGGAGGUGGAGGGGAGGCCAGCGAGAGAACCAUAAAAUGAAAAUUUCAUGAUAAAUUAGUUUGUAUUUUCUGUUUUCAUUUCUGACACAUGGAAGGAAAUGCUGAGUGUUUUCUUAAGGAAGUGCAAAUUUCUCCACUUCAUCCAUUUUAAAUCCUCACCCUUAGGCAUUUUGUACUGAACCAUAAAAUCUAGGAUACCUUAAAAGGCUGUAAUGAUUCCCAGUGGACUUUGGCCUCAUCAUCUCACUAACAGUUCAGCAGAGCUCAAAAGGAAAAUCAUUUUAUAGCAAUUUGGCAUCAUCCAUUUACAGAAAGUGGUUCAUAUGGAGCAUCAAUUUGUUCACAUGGUUUCUUUACCAUAUUUGAUGAAAUAUAAGGUGGAACUGGAACAAGCACCUAAAGAAAAAGAACCAUAAACUUUGAAACAGGGCUGUAAAAAAAACAGACAGCAUGUUAACCUGAAACAAGUUACAGACUUGAAAGAAUUUGGGACGGGUUGCUCAUAUAUCAGUCCCACAUCAGGGCUGUGAUUUGCAGAUGUUUGUGGGCAUAUCUGUUUUUUCAUUUGUUGUUCUUUAUUGGUAAAGGUGCAAGGUGCAGAUCUAGAUGAUGAUGAUGAUGAUGACAAAACUGAGAAAAUGAAACUAAUACAAAAAGAGGGGGAAUCAAAGAGAGGUGACCUGGAAAAACACCAACGAUAUUCCAUAAAAUGUAUGGCAAAAGGCAUUCAUUUAGCUGUGUUCCAUUUGCUAUCAACAGGAGCAAUGUUACAUUUUAAGAGUAUUCUUUUGAUCUAUGCGAUUCAUCAAGAUAAAACUGGACCUAAAUCCUGUUGUUAAUCUCAGACAGAGAAG